GUAGGUGGCAAGCGUUGUCCGGAAUUAUUGGGCGUAAAGCGCGCGCAGGCGGUUCUUUAAGUCUGAUGUGAAAGCCCACGGCUCAACCGUGGAGGGUCAUUGGAAACUGGAGAACUUGAGUACAGAAGAGGAAAGCGGAAUUCCACGUGUAGCGGUGAAAUGCGUAGAGAUGUGGAGGAACACCAGUGGCGAAGGCGGCUUUCUGGUCUGUAACUGACGCUGAGGCGCGAAAGCGUGGGGAGCAAACAGGGAUUAGAUACCCUGGUAGUCCACGCCGUAAACGAUGAGUGCUAAGUGUUAGGGGGUUUCCGCCCCCUUAGUGCUGCAGCUAACGCAUUAAGCACUCCGCCGUGGGAGUACGGCCGCAAGGCUG
rnacentral:rRNA from 1 species